rnacentral:rRNA from 1 species
CCUACGGGAGGCAGCAGUGGGGAAUAUUGCACAAUGGGGGAAACCCUGAUGCAGCGACGCCGCGUGAGUGAAGAAGUAAUUCGUUACGUAAAGCUCUAUCAGCAGGGAAGAAAUACUGACCUUACGGUCAGCAGACGGUACCUGAGUCAGAAGCCCCGGCUAACUACGUGCCAGCAGCCGCGGUAAUACGUAGGGGGCAAGCGUUAUCCGGAUUUACUGGGUGUAAAGGGAGCGUAGACGGUGCGCCAAGUGUGGAGUGAAAUGCCGCAGCUUAACUGGGGAACUGCAUUGGAAACUGGCGAACUAGAGUGAGGGAGGGGUAAGCGGAAUUCCUGGUGUAGCAGUGAAAUGCGUAGAUAUUGAGAGGAACACCGGUGGCGAAGGCGGCUUACUGGACCGUAACUGACGUUGAGGCUCGAAGGCGUGGGGAGCAAACGGGAUUAGAUACCCGGGUAGUC